UUUGCAGUUGGUGAUAUCUCUUCUCAAAGGGGAUGAGUUGAUGAAACUAAACCAUUUUUCUUCGUAAGGGUUUUCUUUGUUUUUUAACGCCAUUAUUCUUGGCAUAGGGAUAGCGAAAUCAGAUUGUACAAGACUAUGUAUGUGGAUUAGAUAAUGGAGGGAAUUUUUUCAAUGAUAACUCGACUUCCGAUAAGUCCAAGGUGGCGAUGAUUGUUAUCACACUCGAGAGAAGAUCAUGAAAAUAUUACAACUUGGCUCUUGGUUAGUAGUCUUAAGUGAUCAUGCGUGUAUUUUGUGCCAAUAUAAUUUGAUGAGGGAAGUAAACUGGCGGAGUGCCCGGUGAACAAGCCAAGUUAUAUGUCCCUGGGGCUGGGUCUGAAGAAUGUUGGUCUUAAAAUAUGCCACAUCUUCACGAAAGUUCCUGGAUGAGGUCCGAUACAAGAAAAAAAAUAUUAUUCUGGUUGGACCUAUGGAUGUUGAGGUCAAGCAAUGGAAAAGUUACUCAUCAUAGAAACGAACUAGGAAACAAACUACAAUGAACUCCCUGAAAAUGUGUAUUUUCGAAUUUAGUUGUUUACAUUAUACUAUGUGAAGAACUAUUUUUUUGUCUUUUUUUGUAUUGUAUGCCAAAAGAAGUGUUCUCGACAGUAUAUAUCUGGAGGUUUGAUAAAGCCUUUUGUUUACCAAUAUGAGCCAGUUAAUUUGGCAGAGAUAACUAUUUACAUGUC